UCUUAUUUAAACCCAGUGGAUAACGUGAUAGCGUCUGAAGCGAAAGGUACUGGGUUCGAAUCCCAGAGUGAAC
rnacentral:tRNA from 1 species